rnacentral:rRNA from 1 species
AGCGAACGCUGGCGGCAGGCCUAACACAUGCAAGUCGAACGGACCCUUCGGGGUUAGUGGCGGACGGGUGAGUGACACGUGGGAACGUGCCUUUAGGUUCGGAAUAGCUCCUGGAAACGGGUGGUAAUGCCGAAUGUGCCCUGCGGGGGAAAGAUUUAUCGCCUUUAGAGCGGCCCGGGUCUGAUUAGCUAGUUGGUGAGGUAGUGGCUCACCAAGGCGACGAUCAGUACCUGGUAUGAGAGGAUGACCAGCCACAUUGGGACUGAGACACGGCCCAAACUCCUCCAGGAGGCUGCAGUGGGGAAGCUUGCGCAAUGGGCGAAAGCCUGACGCAGCCAUGCGGUGUGGAUUAUGAAGGUCUUAGGAUUGUAAAAUCCUCUCACCGGUGAAGAUAAUGACUGUAGCCGGAGAAGAAGCCCCGGCUAACUUCGUGCCAGCCGCCGCCGUAAAAC